CUCAACAGUCAAAAAAAGCUUGAAACAAGUUGUAUGGUGGUCGUGUGUUCAACGGUAAAGCCAAAAAGGGGAAACUUGACUGCAGAAGUAUCUAUCUGUCUCCUUUCGAUCUCUAGCAAUCGCGCAGUUCAACGAAGGUUUCGCGCGGCUUGUCGACAUCAGUACUUUUAUAUAAAUUCUCAGAUUCUCGAAAAUGAUAUUUCUUUCACUAGACUUGUUCUUUACUGCUACGAAUCUCCUUGUUUCUUCAUCAACUGAUCGUCGAUGGACCGUAAAACUUUGUCUGCGACCUUGAAGGAUGCUAAUAAUCAGAAAGUGAAAAAGAGAAAAAACAGAGAGCGUACGAAAUGUGCAAAGAAAACGAAGAUGACUCAGCAUUCCUUAAGUGCUAUUGGUGAGGAAAUUAAGGAGACCGAGCAUGAAAAUGAUUCCAUGCUUCAGAUGCUGCAACGAAAGCAGCUUGAGAUCAAACAGCAGAAAGCUGACUUCUGUGAUUCGCAAAACAAAAUAAUCACUGCACAUGAAAACUGUGUAGGUGCAUUUUUGCAAGAGCCAUUAUUCCAAUACCUCAUGGCGGGAUCUAACCAGCUAGAAAUUGCGCAACGUGUUAUGUUUUCUCCAAAUGCCAAUUCGGAUGGUAGGGUUCCAUCCGAGGAUGGCAUCGUUGAAUUGAAACAUCGUUCUAAGAUUUCGUUUAAGCAGAUUGAAGUUUUAUGCAAAAUCUUGACAGGAUAAGAAGCUUGAAAGUAAACUGCAGAGUGAGAGAUUGUAGUCUUCAAUCUGUGAAGAUCAUUAAAAAAACGAAUUUAAUGCUCAGAACCAAUCUCCUAACUAUAUAUUGUAGACUUUCCGAAUCUGUAGAACCUCCUCUCAUAUUUUGCAUCUUGGUGACUUUGGAUCAACAUUCCAGGUCCCAUUCCGUGUGUCUCAUUCUUGAUCUUGACAAGCUAAUUCAUUUUUGUCCAACGAAUCUUAGUCCACUCUUGGUUUAUCAAGGUGGAUUCAAAUCCUCCCAGGAGAUUUGCUGAGGCAUCCGGAAUCCGGAAUGAAGAUGGCGGUUGUUUGCUGCCCGGAUCGACGAUAUGUUUCCCGCCUUUCCCCUUAUUAUAUCUUCAGUCAAUUCAUGUGAUGAAACAUGACAUCCCAAAUAAUGAAUUUCCCAUUCUGUUGUUGAAUCUCGUCGCUCUGUGGAAGACAGGACUUGUAAACUUUGAGUGCAUUUACAUUUGCGUAGCUUAUUAUUAUGUUUGAAUUGGUUUUUAUCUU